rnacentral:rRNA from 1 species
GACGAACGCUGGCGGCGUGCCUAAUACAUGCAAGUCGAACGCAGUGGGGACGGGUGAGUAACACGUGGGUAACCUCCCAUCAGAGGGGAUAACACUUGGAAACAGGUGCUAAACCGAUACUGAUGGAUGGACCCGCGGUGCAUUAGCUAGUUGGUGAGGUAACGGCUCACCAAGGCGACGAUCCGUAGCUGGUUGGAGAGGACGACCAGCCACACUGGGACUGAGACACGGCCCAGACUCCUACGGGAGGCAGCAGUGAGGAAUAUUGGUCAAUGGGCGCUAGCCUGAACCAGCCAAGUAGCGUGAAGGAUGAAGGUCUAUGGGUCGUAAACUUCUUUUAUAUAAGAAUAUGUAUUAUAUGAAUAAGGAUCGGCUAACUCCGUGCCAGCAGCCGCGGUAAUUC